UAUUCUGAUACAUUGUUGUGGAUUAAGAACUGGUGGUCAACUUAAUGCCAGCUGGAUUACAUCAGCAUGACGCCGAGCAUAGAUGUCCCACCUGAGGAAAGUUGCCAGCAUAAAUAGAGACUUGGAGAAGAAGCUAUUGCAUUGAGGCAUUGUGGAUUCUCCUACAAGUUGCUGUUUGAGCCGUUGAUUCUCCUGGAGAAGCUCUGGUCCUCACAUCGAGCAUUGCUCCCUGGCUCUGGAGGGGAAGACGUGUGCUACUUGGUCUCCAGGAUGAACUUGUCACGCUGGCUUCCUGGCAUGUACCUGACUAAUGUGAGUGUCGCCCUUGGCUUUUCCCAAAUGCUUCUCAAAAUGUCACACAGAAAGAGACCAGGAAAAGCACACCCCAUGUAGUGAAGCGAGGAAACUAUCAAACCCAG
rnacentral:lncRNA from 1 species